rnacentral:rRNA from 1 species
AGAGUUUGAUCCUGGCUCAGGACGAACGCUUUUGGCGUGCUUAACACAUGCAAGUCGAACGGAAAGGCCCUUCGGGGUACUCGAGUGGCGAACGGGUGAGUAACACGUGGGUGAUCUGCCCUGCACUUUGGGAUAAGCCUGGGAAACUGGGUCUAAUACCGAAUAGGACCACGCGCUUCGUGGUGUGUGGAGGAAAGCUUUUGCGGUGUGGGAUGGGCCCGCGGCCUAUCAGCUUGUUGGUGGGGUAAUGGCCUACCAAGGCGACGACGGGUAGCCGGCCUGAGAGGGUGACCGGCCACACUGGGACUGAGAUACGGCCCAGACUCCUACGGGAGGCAGCAGUGGGGAAUAUUGCACAAUGGGCGCAAGCCUGAUGCAGCGACGCCGCGUGAGGGAUGACGGCCUUCGGGUUGUAAACCUCUUUCAAUAGGGACGAAGCGUGAGUGACGGUACCUAUAGAAGAAGCACCGGCCAACUACGUGCCAGCAGCCGCGGUAAUACGUAGGGUGCGAGCGUUGUCCGGAAUUACUGGGCGUAAAGAGCUCGUAGGUGGUUUGUCGCGUUGUUCGUGAAAACUCACAGCUUAACUGUGGGCGUGCGGGCGAUACGGGCAGACUAGAGUACUGCAGGGGAGACUGGAAUUCCUGGUGUAGCGGUGGAAUGCGCAGAUAUCAGGAGGAACGCCGGUGGCGAAGGCGGGUCUCUGGGCAGUAACUGACGCUGAGGAGCGAAAGCGUGGGGAGCGAACAGGAUUAGAUACCCUGGUAGUCCACGCCGUAAACGGUGGGUACUAGGUGUGGGUCCCUUCCUUGGGAUCCGUGCCGUAGCUAACGCAUUAAGUACCCCGCCUGGGGAGUACGGCCGCAAGGCUAAAACUCAAAGGAAUUGACGGGGGCCCGCACAAGCGGCGGAGCAUGUGGAUUAAUUCGAUGCAACGCGAAGAACCUUACCUGGGUUUGACAUGCACAGGACGCCGGCAGAGAUGUCGGUUCCCUUGUGGCCUGUGUGCAGGUGGUGCAUGGCUGUCGUCAGCUCGUGUCGUGAGAUGUUGGGUUAAGUCCCGCAACGAGCGCAACCCUUGUCUCAUGUUGCCAGCGGGUAAUGCCGGGGACUCGUGAGAGACUGCCGGGGUCAACUCGGAGGAAGGUGGGGAUGACGUCAAGCCAUCAUGCCCCUUAUGUCCAGGGCUUCACACAUGCUACAAUGGCCGGUACAAAGGGCUGCGAUGCCGCGAGGUUAAGCGAAUCCUUUUAAAGCCGGUCUCAGUUCGGAUCGGGGUCUGCAACUCGACCCCGUGAAGUCGGAGUCGCUAGUAAUCGCAGAUCAGCAACGCUGCGGUGAAUACGUUCCCGGGCCUUGCAAUCACCGCCCGUCA